ensembl:lncRNA
GCUCAAAACAGCGUGUUAACAGCGUCACUUUUUCACUUUCACAACAGUGGAGAUGAUCGUGGACUUCAGGAGAAACCCCCCUGCUCUCCCCCCACUAACCAUCAUGAACAGCACUGUGACUGCAGUGGAGUACACACACACACGCACAAAACUCCGCAUUUGAACAGUCAAUAGCAAAUACUUAAUCUAAUAAAAAAACAUACUUACAGUAGCUGAUUCAGAAGCAUCAGAUUGUCGUAGCAAAGUCAGAAUUACCUCCUCUCCUAGGUUCACGAAACGGUCGUCCAUAAAAUGCGUUGCUGUUCUGUUGUAAGUAAUCUUAAAGAUUCCUAAAUCCAUCUACUUUCCGAAAGAAGAAAUAAAGUGCUUUUGCUUUCACCUAGAAACACACAGCAUCUCCCUGACAUGACCAAGUAGGUAUGGCUGCAGCCCGGAGACCUCCAAGUGGGAGGAGCUUUAGCCGCAAGUGGGCUGGAUUUCAGAAAUGGGCGGGGUUUACGCAGAAAUCCCACAUGAGCUGUGUCCCAAACUUAAGUGCAUGGACUCCGGAGUGCGCAUUUGAAGUGCGAAUGCGUCACAGUGGCGCGACGAAGGGUGUCCCAAACUGAAGUGUGUGGACUCUGAAGUGCGGAUGUGAAGUGCGAUUGCGUCACAGCGUCACGACGUAAGCUGUCCCAAAGUCAGAAUGCGCACUUCGAAGACCGCAUUUGAAGUGCGAAUGCGUCACCGCGGCGCGACGAAGGCUGACGAAUUUCGAAAGCGACUUCAAAUGCGCCCUUCAUUUCCCAUGAAAAUGAAGUGUACAUCUAAUGGACACUUCGCACCCUACCAUAUCCCAGAAUCACUUGCGUGCAUAUGACGAAGGUGUUUAUAUUCAGAGGCAGGUGAGAGUUCUGUGGAGGACUUCACAUUGAAAUGCAUGGUUUAUUUGUGAAGUGUCCUGAGACAGGUGAGGGAGCGAGUGGACAGGGAGGACGUCAAACUCAAACCAAUACAUUCUUCAUUAGCCAAGAGAAAACCGUGGGAAAAAAUGAGUACAUUACAGUUUUUCCAAUAUAUUUUUUAAAUGUCAUAUUGUUAAUGAAACAACCUAAUUUCUGUAGUUUAUUUUUGUGACGCAAGUUAAAAAUGAAAUGCAUAAAUUGUAUACAUUAUUCAUUUUUUGUGUGUAAUUCGUAAAUAAGCCUGAGUACUUUCUGUACAUUUUGUAUUUUUGUUUUGCAUAUUCACAUGUGUAAAUAAAAGAAAAGUGCUUAUGUACA